AUCAUCAUCAUUGGCUUUCGCUAAAUCAGCGGCGAUUUGCUGCUGGAGCUGGUAGAAGCGGGCUCGGGUCUCGCUCUGCUGGUGCAUCCA
rnacentral:rRNA from 1 species